UGCUUCCCUUCAGUUUAGGAUAUGACUGUCUAGUACUUGGCCACCACGUAAUCUUCAUAUCUAGACCAGCAUCGGUCUAUCUUCCAUAUGAGAAACUGAGGACAUGGCUGUCUAGUACUCGGCCCCCAUGUAAUCAAUCUAGACUACCAUCAGCCCAUUUUGCACUUGAGAAAAACUGAGAACUGGGCAACCAUGCAAUAUUUCUACCUGGAGCAGCAUCGACCCAUUUUCCUGAUGAGAAACUGUGAAUUUCCCAUCUGGCAUGAACACGGCUGUCUAGGACUUGGUCCCCAUGUAAUCUUCCAAUCUAGAACAGCAUCAGCCCAUUUUUCUGAUGAGAAACUUUGUUUAGGAUGUGGCUCUCUAGAAUUUGGCAACCAUGUAAUCUUCCAAUCUGGAGCAGCACUGAUCCAUUUUCCUGAUGAGAAACUGAGUUUAGGAUGUGGCUCUCCAGAACAUGGCAACCAUGUAAUCUUCCUAUCUGGAGCAGCACCGACCCAUUUUCCUGAUGAGAAACUGUGUUUAGCAUGUGGCUCUCUAGAACUUGGCAACCAUGUAAUCUUCCUAUCUGGAGCAGCACCGAACAAUUUUCCUGAAGCGAAACUGUGGUGAGUAUCGUUUAUAUCGUGAACCAAAGAGCUAUGAAUAUUGAUACAAAUAUGGUGGUAUUUCCAUUGUUUUUCUUAUCUGGAAUGAACCUGGAUUCUUUGUGCUUGUCCCCAGUGUAAUCUUCCACAUCUACACCUCCAUUAGCCCAUUUUCCAGAUGAAAAACCUGAAGGAAAUAUCAUGUAGAUAAUGAAAAAUAGAGCCAUGAUUGUUCAUACAACUUUGUUGAUGUUUCCUUUGUGCUUCCCGUCUGGCAUGAACAUCGUUAUCUAGAACUCGACCGCCGUAUAAUCUUUCGUAUCUAGACUUCCAUCAGCCCAUUUUCCAGAUGAGAAAAUUGAAGAGAAUAUUUUGUAGAUAAUAAAACUGAGCCCUGAUUAGUGAGAGAACUUUGG
rnacentral:lncRNA from 1 species